rnacentral:rRNA from 1 species
CCUACGGGGGGCAGCAGUCGAGAAUCAUUCACAAUGGGGGAAACCCUGAUGGUGCGACGCCGCGUGGGGGAAUGAAGGUCUUCGGAUUGUAAACCCCUGUCAUGUGGGAGCAAAUUAAAAUGAUAGUACCACAAGAGGAAGAGACGGCUAACUCUGUGCCAGCAGCCGCGGUAAUACAGAGGUCUCAAGCGUUGUUCGGAACCACUGGGCGUAAAGCGUGCGUAGGCUGUUUCGUAAGUCGUGUGUGAAAGGCGCGGGCUCAACCCGCGGACGGCACAUGAUACUGCGAGACUAGAGUAGUGGAGGGGGAACCGGAAUUCGCGGUGUAGCAGUGAAAUGCGUAGAUAUCGAGAGGAACACUCGUGGCGAAGGCGGGUUCCUGGACAUUAACUGACGCUGAGGCACGAAGGCCAGGGUAGCGAAAGGGAUUAGAUACCCGGGUAGUC